ACCCCCAUGGUGGCGCAGCAAGGACGGGAGAGAGACGGCGCCACCCCCUCAUCUCCCUGCAAAACCAGCAGUGGCGGUGGUGGGGGUGCGCCCGCACUGGGGGGGCCCCCUGCAGCACCCUGCAAUGGUGGUGGAGACAUCUGCACAGCACUGUGGUUACCAUGGCAAUGACAACGCUGAGGGCAGCAGCACCACUGAUGGAGGGAUUGCAACACUACAGCAAAAAUUUCAACAGCAUUUUUCCAAUUUUUUACAAGAGUCAGAAAAUGUAACGGAACACACAGCAAUACCGAGUCAUUGUCCAAGAUGCAAAGAAGGAUAAACAUUAUGCAAAUCAAUGUUAUUUCAAAUAUGAUAUUGAUGAAAAUCACUGUAUAAAGAUAGAAGUAUUAGUAAUGAUUUACCUACCAAAAAUGUCACUGAAAACAAAGCAUUUGAGAAAUGUGCAGAACCUGGAUGGAUCUCAAUGAAGAAUGUAGAACUUAUCAACUGCAAGAAAGAACUGAUCUAUCCACAAGCAAGGCAUAAGAUGCAUAAAAGAUGUAGAUUGUGCAAAGAUUUGUGUUUCACCCACAGAAGAUCAUGGACUUCGGGGUUUUUUUAUAAAUGUGUGUUUUUAGU